UACAGAGGGUGCAAGCGUUGUUCGGAAUCAUUGGGCGUAAAGCGGGUGUAGGCGGCUCUGUAAGUCAGGAGUGAAAGCCCCGAGCUUAACUUGGGAAGUGCUUUUGAUACUGCAGAGCUUGAAUGUGGGAGAGGAGACUGGAAUUUACGGUGUAGCGGUGAAAUGCGUAGAUAUCGUAAGGAAGACCAGUGGCGAAGGCGGGUCUCUGGACAGUUCCUGACGCUGAGGCACGAAGGCCAGGGGAGCAAACGGG
rnacentral:rRNA from 1 species